rnacentral:lncRNA from 1 species
CAAUUUCAGAUAAAUUAGAAAAGAUUUCUAUUAGUUUCUUUUCUUUUCUUUUUUGAGGUCGUGAAAAUUAGCGAAUACCAACUUAAUCUGUCACGUCUCGAGUUAUGUUAACAUCCGGACUUGCCAAUAAAUUCGACGCAUAACCGACCAUCUCUAGAGCAAGCGGCAAAAGGCUCGGUGGUUGGUAUCCGAGGUUCCAAGUUUCCGAGAUUCUAAGUUCGAAUCAUAGUUGAUUCCCAUUUCUAGUUAAGUUUAUUUCUAAAUGAAAUAACCGAAGCGAAUAACGUGCUAUCUAUCUCUCAAAAAAAAAAAAAGAUUCGACACAUACGAAAAUUUCGUG